AAAAAAAUUGAACCUUUAUUUUUUCAUUGCAAAUUUUAUUUAUUACACUAUUAGUUAUUACUUUAUGAUAUGGUAAAAAAUCAACCCAAAAAAUUGAUUUGGUUUGGCCUCAGAUGACUUUUAAAAUGUUUAUAUCAUUGAAAAAGCUCCAAAUUAUCUCCCUUUGGUGCAAAAAUGCCAUUUUUUGGCAUUAAAUGUGAAAUAUCUUUUUUAACUCAUCGGUGACCUAUAUUUUUUAUUAUUGUUUUCAUAUAAGCUGUACAAACUAAAUAAUUGUAAAAUUUAAGCGAUUUCUUGAUAAGGUUAUUUUUUUAUUUCGAUAUUACCUCUAUUUCUCCUAUUAGUUCAACAGAAAAAAAGGACAUUAACAAAAAUGUAUGCUACUUUCGGAGGCAGAUCGUGAGCUUGAAAGAACGGUGACCCCAUUUUUUUUAUUUCAUUUUUAUAUUAAGUAUAUGAUCAAGUUCAUUUAUAAAAAAAAUAUGGCGAAAUCCUAUAUUAGAUAAAAAAAAAUGAUUUAUACCCAGG
rnacentral:lncRNA from 1 species